AUACGGAGGAUCCGAGCGUUAUCCGGAUUUAUUGGGUUUAAAGGGUGCGCAGGCGGCCAUUUAAGUCAGCGGUUAAAUCUUGGGGCUCAACCCCAUUCUGCCGUUGAUACUGGGUGGCUUGAUUGCGGUCGAGGUUGGCGGAAUUCGUUGUGUAGCGGUGAAAUGCAUAGAUAUGACGAAGAACACCGAUUGCGUAGGCAGCUGACCAGACCGCAAAUGACGCUCAUGCACGAAAGUGCGGGGAUCGAACAGGAUUAGAUACCCUGGUAGUCCGCACAGUAAACGAUGAAUACUUGUUUUCGGCGAUAUAAUGUCGGAGGCAAAGCGAAAGCGAUAAGUAUUCCACCUGGGGAGUACGCCGGCAACGGUGAAACUCAAAGGAAUUGGCGGGG
rnacentral:rRNA from 1 species